rnacentral:lncRNA from 12 species
GCUAGUUAGCUCAUUGUUACAUCAAGGAAGGAACUGAUAUAUACCAGAAUUAGAAGACAAAGCUUUCUGUUGUAGAUGGGGAAAGAGGCACCUCUAUCCCCUCUAUAGUUCCUGACUAUACCAGAACUCUCACCAGCAACUGCCAUAU